ensembl:lncRNA
CUAAACCUUUAAAAACAAAUGUAACCUUUACUUUUAUUAAAUCUGUUCAAAGACAAACUUAUGAUCAAACUUUGUGUGUCUAUGUGUGUGUGUACCUUUUAAAAAGGUACUGCACCAGUAUCAGCUUUUGUACCUUUUUUUAUGAGCGUGAACCGUUUUAACUUUAAGGCCAUUUAGGGGAAACACUGUGGUUUGCUAUUCUCAAAAUUUACAGGUGCUUAUGUUAUGGUUGUUGCAAGCGGAUCUUAAAAUAAACGAUGCAGUAAGCAAAGGUAUCGGCUACAUACAGCCUCAGAGCAGGGGAAAACCUGCUGCUUUGACCAGAACAUAAUCUUGAUUUCAGUCAAAUAAAUUUGCAUGUUUGAUGCAAUAAUGAACAUAAUUGUUUAUAAUCAAGAAAUUGAUUUUCAGUGUAUAUAAUAACAUGCAUUUUUGCAAUAACUUUGCAAAAUAUGCAAAUUAAGGCAGAGAUUUGUUAGCAGUUUUCCAACAAUAUACCUAAUUAAAUACUUUCUAAGUAAGUUGGACAAGAAUCAUUUUUGGCAUAUACUCACUGUAUAUUUUUAUAACAGUGUCAUGCAUGUAAUAAUCUGAGGUGAUCUCACUUUGACUUUGCUACAGGAUGUGGUAAAAAUGGAAACCUGUUGCUUAAACUGAAGUAAGUAGGUAGCCCAGCAUUUGACUCUACAACCUCAAAACACUUCAAUGCAAAAGAAAAUCUAUCUACCCUCAGCAUUAAAUGUUAUCAAAUGCAUCACAAAGCACAUUUUUCACUGUUUGGUCACAGCUGCAUCACUGAUCUGGCAGUAGAAAAUCAUAUGUCAGUCAUAAGUGACGAUUCACUGAUGCUGUGAAAUUGCAGCCCCAGACCACCGCAUGUAAGAGUCUGUGCGUGUGUGUUUACAGGAAAUAUCAUAUGAAGGACAUCAGCCUACACAUUCUCUGUCUUGGUCUUGCAACUUUGAGACCUUGGAUGUCAUGCAUCAUGUACAUUUCACAUCUUUGGAUAUUUUUGGGUGCUUUGGUGUCUUCAAAUGCUCAGUACCAUGGGAAUAAAAGAUGCACAGAGGUCACCGUGAACGCUUCUCUGAAUUCUGAAGUCUUUCUCCCAUGUCACUUUAAUAUAAGCCAUUACAAUGAAACCGAGGGAGUGAAUUGGAGCUACUACUCUUCCAGUCUUGUAAUGAUCAUGAUUAAUGGCAGAAUCUUCUUUGACAGUCCAAGUGAAGGACGAGUGAAUGUUUUUCCGCUUCUGUCUAAACAUGGAAACUUCUCCAUCCUCAUCCAUGAUCUGCAGUCUUCAGACAUUGGCACCUACUUAUGUGAGCUCAACAGUGAAUGCUGGAGGGUGAAGAUCAGUGAACGUCCGCACAGUGAGAUCAGAGAAAUCAAUGAGACAAACCCCUGGUUCUACUUUGCAGCUGGAGCUGGAUUGUUUAUUUUCCUUUUUAUUGCAUUCAGCCUGUUAUCAAAAUUCUAUGGAAAGUGUGUAAAUACAUCAUCCAAAUCUGAUCCCGUUGAUGGCGUACAGAGUGAAGGUAAUUCCCCCGAAGAAACACAGAAUACAGAAAGCAGUGGACAUAGAAACAAGAGGGGUGUGAGGAGGGCCCCCACAACUGUUUAUGAAAAUGACAUACAUGCUCCAAAUCAAAGUUCUGCUGUGCAGCAGGGCCAACAUCCUCAGAGAGCAUUCCGAGCUGUUCCUGAGCCAACUACAAGUCAUCCUUCAGAUCAAAAACCAUAUUAUGUCAACCAGGCGGAGCUCUCCAUUCCAGCAAAUGCUGGCAAAAACCGGAAAAAACAAAAACAUUAUCAGUUUAAAAAUCCAAUAUACUGUGACUGAAGAGAUCAGGGGUCAACCACAGCAUCCAGUGCCACAGAAUCCAGAAUACACAUUUCAGACAGUUCAGGAUCUCAAUAAAUGCUGA